AAUGUCAACAUGUAAUAACAAUCCACUAUGAAAAUAAAAGACUACAAGGUGAUUGCAGCCUCCGCGGACUCAAACAUUUCUUUUAUCUUCUAUGGACCCGCACACACCAUUGGGUAGUCCACGCCCCACGUCCGACUCCACAGACACCACUUGAAUCCACAAGCACCAACGAUUUGAAUUCACGAAUCGUCUUGAUUACAUCGAAUUCAUGAUGCCUGUCACACCCCAAUAAUCUCAUAUCGGAUAUGAAUGGGAAUGUGAUUGGGUAUAUAAGAGACUUAGACACUAGUAAUAAUAACUGGGCUUAAGCAUUUUGGGCAGGUGGCUGGACCCAACAAGUUAUUAUUGCUAGUGAGCUAGGUCGUUA
rnacentral:lncRNA from 1 species